AAUAAACUAAUUUUUUAUUUUUGACUUUUAUUUUUUGAUUCUUCGUCUUAUUAAAAAAACUUUAUGAUUAAUAUUUUUAUUUUUAUUAGAUGAUAAAUUAUGAAUAGUAUUUUGCUUGUGACUAAAUUUUUUUUCCUAAUUUUCUAAAAAAAUUUUAAAUAAGACGGAUGAUCAAACGUUGAACACGAAAACCGAAGAUUUCGUUUUUU
rnacentral:pre_miRNA from 1 species